rnacentral:rRNA from 1 species
UGGGGAAUUUUGGACAAUGGGCGAAAGCCUGAUCCAGCAAUGCCGCGUGUGUGAAGAAGGCCUUCGGGUUGUAAAGCACUUUUGUCCGGAAAGAAAUCCUUGGGCUCUAAUACAGUCGGGGGAUGACGGUACCGGAAGAAUAAGCACCGGCUAACUACGUGCCAGCAGCCGCGGUAAUACGUAGGGUGCAAGCGUUAAUCGGAAUUACUGGGCGUAAAGCGUGCGCAGGCGGUUUGCUAAGACCGAUGUGAAAUCCCCGGGCUCAACCUGGGAACUGCAUUGGUGACUGGCAGGCUAGAGUAUGGCAGAGGGGGGUAGAAUUCCACGUGUAGCAGUGAAAUGCGUAGAGAUGUGGAGGAAUACCGAUGGCGAAGGCAGCCCCCUGGGCCAAUACUGACGCUCAUGCACGAAAGCGUGGGGGAGCAAACAGGAUUAGAUACCCUGGUAGUCCACGCCCUAAACGAUGUCAACUAGUUGUUGGGGAUUCAUUUCCUUAGUAACGUAGCUAACGCGUGAAGUUGACCGCCU